AUGUCGUAUCGCUCCCUGCUGCACAAGAGGAUCCUCCCCGCCGCCGCCGCCGCCGCCACCGCCGCCGCCGGAGCUGCUCUCCGGCGACCGGCGGCCGGCUCUCGCCUUCUCCAAGCCCGACUUCACCAGGCAACGCAGCAGCAGUGCAUUUCUGACGCUGGUUUUAGAGACAGCGAGAAGGAUAUCGAUAGGGAAAUAGAACAGCUCGCUCAAAAGUUCGAAGAAAACAGCAAACGGUGGAAGCAAGAACGGGAGGAGUUGGACAACCUCAGGAGGUACACCUCCUCCUAAACAUCUUGCA
rnacentral:lncRNA from 1 species